UACGUAGGGUGCAAGCGUUGUCCGGAAUUAUUGGGCGUAAAGGGCUCGUAGGCGGUCCAUCGCGUCGGGAGUGAAAAGCUGGGGCUUAACCCCAGUCCUGCUUCCGAUACGGGUGGACUAGAGGUAGGUAGGGGAGAUCGGAAUUCCUAGUGUAGCGGUGAAAUGCGCAGAUAUCAGGAGGAACACCGGUGGCGAAGGCGGAUCUCUGGGCCGAUACUGACGCUGAGGAGCGAAAGCGUGGGGAGCGAACAGG
rnacentral:rRNA from 1 species